GUUGUUCCAGUGUGAAGAAACACUUUGAAGUAUAUCAGCUUCAGAGCAGAAUGGUGAUGACAAAGAAACAACACAAAAUGAGUGAUGUCCCUGUGUCCCCUGAUGGCUGAAUUUCAUUUUGCUCUCCUCCUCCGCAAACAAGACCACAGAGGAGAGGCACAGUUCAUAAAUGACAUUCUUGGGCGCCCCCUUCUGGUUUGUUGCCACAAUGUUCUUUUUUUAUUUUCUGGAAAUAUUUGGACUGCACAAAAAGAGGGAAAAUCCUGAGGACACAAUGAGGCUGCCCGCCAAGGCCUGAAUCUUUACUGUCAUUGAUUUAGCAAAGGAAAUGAAGACAUAUUAUUAAAUCAUUUGUGAGCCAAUAUGCUGCACAUUAAGUCCAGUUAAUAUUCACCGAGGCCAAUUGGGUUCCUCCUGAGUGUGUUAAAUCCUUACAGGCUGAUCCAUGGGAUAGAAAACCCAUGUGUGGCAUUAGA